rnacentral:rRNA from 2 species
GGGGGGAAUGGCCGGGCGGUGUGCCUAUACAUGCAAGUCGAACGCGUUGGCCCAAUUGAUUGAUGGUGCUUGCACCUGAUUGAUUUUGGUCGCCAACGAGUGGCGGACGGGUGAGUAACACGUAGGUAACCUGCCCAGAAGCGGGGGACAACAUUUGGAAACAGAUGCUAAUACCGCAUAACAGCGUUGUUCGCAUGAACAACGCUUAAAAGAUGGCUUCUCGCUAUCACUUCUGGAUGGACCUGCGGUGCAUUAGCUUGUUGGUGGGGUAACGGCCUACCAAGGCGAUGAUGCAUAGCCGAGUUGAGAGACUGAUCGGCCACAAUGGGACUGAGACACGGCCCAUACUCCUACGGGAGGCAGCAGUAGGGAAUCUUCCACAAUGGGCGCAAGCCUGAUGGAGCAACACCGCGUGAGUGAAGAAGGGUUUCGGCUCGUAAAGCUCUGUUGUUAAAGAAGAACACGUAUGAAAGUAACUGUUCAUACGUUGACGGUAUUUAACCAGAAAGUCACGGCUAACUACGUGCCAGCAGCCGCGGUAAUACGUAGGUGGCAAGCGUUAUCCGGAUUUAUUGGGCGUAAAGAGAGUGCAGGCGGUUUUCUAAGUCUGAUGUGAAACCUUCGGCUUAACCGGAAAAGUGC